GAAAUGCGAUAAUUAAUGUGAAUUGCAGAAUUCAGUGAAUCAUCGAGUCUUUGAACGCACAUUGCGCCCCCUGGUAUUCCGGGGGGCAUGCCUGUCCGAGCGUCAUUGCUGCCCUCAAGCACGGCUUGUGUGUUGGGCUUCCGUCCCUGGCAACGGGGACGGGCCCAAAAGGCAGUGGCGGCACCAUGUCUGGUCCUCGAGCGUAUGGGGCUUUGUCACCCGCUCCCGUAGGUCCAGCUGGCAGCUAGCCUCGCAACCAAUCUUUUUAACCAGGUUGACCUCGGAUCAGGUAGGGAUACCCGCUGAACUUCAGC
rnacentral:misc_RNA from 1 species